GACAACCUUUGGACCAACCUGUCAAGGGAAACUGCACUGCUGAAAAUCAUCACAGAUCACAGCAAGCGGAUGAAGUGAUGGACAGGGCACUAUCAAGAACUGUAGUCAUGGGAAAACAUGAUCUCUGACACAGCAAUUGACAGUAUCUAGACUCUGCUUGGUGAUGUGGUUCGGGAACAACAGGAUAUGAAUGACCUUCCGAAGGUCAGUGUGAACCGCGUGCUAAGUGCCAGCACUGCUUACAGCUUGGCUGGUGUGUGCCAGAGAAUAUUUAUUUCCUUGUAUGCCACCUUGUUUUCCUCUGUCCUCUAGCUUUGACAUUUAAGCUGCCAUUUUGGGCCUGUGUUAUCUACAUCAUUUGUGAGGAUUCUGUACACGAGUCGUGUUCUGUGCACCAGAGUCAUUUGCUGGGUAUGUAAAUAUUCAGGGCAUGGACUCACCAACACAAAUGUGCAUAGCAUUUGCCCAUGCUAAUUUAUAUGCAUAGAUGUGUGACAGAAGAGGAGCCAACUAACUUCCCAUGCAAAUGACCCCCCCCCCCAAAAAAGUUUGAUUAAUUGGCAGCCAGCCAAAGCUCAUCCUUUGGUUGACAAAGGGAUGCGGGUGGUGCUGUGGGUUAAACCACAGAGCCUAGGACUUGCCGAUCAGAAGGUCAGCGGUUCGAAUCCCCGCGACGGGGUGAGCUCCCGUUGCUCGGUCCCUGCUCCUGCCCACCUAGCAGUUCGAAAGCACGUCAAAGUGCAAGUAGAUAAAUAGGUACCGCUCUGGUGGAAAGGUAAAUGGCGUUUCUGUGCGCUGUUCUGGUUCGCCAGAAGCGGCUUGGUCAUGCUGGCCACAUGACCCGGAAGCUGUACGCCAGCUCCCUCGGCCAAUAAAGUGAGAUGAGCGCCGCAGCCCCAGAGUCGGUCACGACUAGACCUAAUGGUCAGGCGUCCCUUUACCUUUACCUUUAAAGGUCAUCCCAGAUCAGGUUCUCUUCAACUCAUUGAGCCCAAAAUUUUUCCUUUCAGAUCGGGCUCUGGAUUGUGUGAAGAAGUACUUUUAUCUUUUAUCUGUCCUAAAUAUUCC